GAACGAGAAAGUGGAGCAAUCCAUGAGUAAAGUGGCGACCGGGUGAGUAACACGUGACUAACCUACCUCCGAGUGGGGAAUAACUCCGGGAAACCGGGGCUAAUAUCGCAUAACAUCGCAAGAUCAAAGCAGCAAUGCGCUUGGAGAGGGGGUCGCGGCUGAUUAGCUCGUUGGCGGGGUAACGGCCCACCAAGGCGAAGAUCGGUAUCCGGCCUGAGAGGGCGCACGGACACACUGGAACUGAAACACGGUCCAUACUCCUACGGGAGGCAGCAGUGGGGAAUUUUGCGCAAUGGGGGAAACCCUGACGCAGCAACGCCGCGUGGAGGAUGAAGCCCUUUGGGGCGUAAACUCCUUUCGACUCGGACGAUAAUGACGGUACGAGUGGAAGAAGCACCGGCUAACUCUGUGCCAGCAGCCGCGGUAAU
rnacentral:rRNA from 1 species